rnacentral:rRNA from 1 species
GGUCAAGCUACAAAGGGCGCAUGGUGAAUGCCUUGGCAUCAGGAGCCGAUGAAGGACGUGAUAAGCUGCGAUAAGCUUCGGGUAGGCGCACAUAGCCUGAGAUCCGAAGAUCUCCGAAUGAGGAAACUCACAUGGGAAACCCCAUGUAUCAUUAAGUGAAUACAUAGCUUAAUGAAGGUAACCCAGGGAACUGAAACAUCUAAGUACCUGGAGGAAGAGAAAGAAAAAUCGAUUUUCUUAGUAGCGGCGAGCGAAAGGGAAAGAGCCCAAACCGGAAACUUGUUUCCGGGGUUGUGGACAUAACAUAAAAGUGGAGGCUAUUGUAACUGAAGAGAACUGGAAAGUUUCACCGUAGAAGGUAAUAGUCCUGUAAGUGAAACGAGAAGACCACGAGUUAUGAUCCAGAGUACCACGAGACACGUGAAACCUUGUGGGAAGCAGGGAGGACCACCUCCCAAGGCUAAAUACUACCUGAUGACCGAUAGUGAAGCAGUACCGUGAGGGAAAGGUGAAAAGAACCCCGGGAGGGGAGUGAAAUAGAACCUGAAACCGUGUGCCUACAACCGCUCAGAGCCCCUUAUGAGGGUGAUGAGGUGCUUUUUGUAGAACGAGCCAACGAGUUACGGUAUGUAGCAAGGUUAAGUACUUAAGGUACGGAGCCGAAGGGAAACCGAGUCUGAAUAGGGCGACUAGUUGCAUGCCGUAGACCCGAAACCGGGUGACCUAUCCAUGGCCAGGUUGAAGCGAGGGUAAAACCUCGUGGAGGACCGAACCACGUUGCUGUUGAAAAAGCAUGGGAUGAGCUGUGGAUAGCGGAGAAAUUCCAAUCGAACCCGGAGAUAGCUGGUUCUCUCCGAAAUAGCUUUAGGGCUAGCGUCGAGUAUGAGUAGUGGAGGUAGAGCACUGAAUGGGCUAGGGGGCAUAGCGCUUACCGAACCUUAUCAAACUCCGAAUGCCACAUACUUUGAGCUCGGCAGUCAGACUACGAAUGAUAAGAUCCGUGGUCAAAAGGGAAACAGCCCAGAUCGUCAGCUAAGGUCCCAAAGUGUAAGUUAAGUGGGAAAGGAUGUGAGAUUUCUAAGACAACUAGGAUGUUGGCUUAGAAGCAGCCAUUCAUUAAAAGAGUGCGUAAUAGCUCACUAGUCGAGAGAUCUUGCGCCGAAAAUGUAACGGGGCUAAACUUACCACCGAAGCUACGGGCUUGAACUUAGUUCAAGCGGUAGGAGAGCGUCGUAACCGGGCUGAAGUCGUACCGUAAGGAGCGGUGGACUGGUUACGAGUGAGAAUGUUGGCAUCAGUAGCGAGAUGUGGGUGAGAAUCCCACAGGCCGAAAACCUAAGGUUUCCUCAGGAAGGUUCGUCCGCUGAGGGUUAGUCGGGACCUAAGCCGAGGCCGAAAGGCGUAGGUGAUGGACAACUGGUUGAUAUUCCAGUACCACUACCAUCGUUAUUAUCGAUGGCGUGACGCAGGAGGAUAGUGUGUGCUAGCUAUUGGAUGCUAGUCUAAGCGUUUAGGCAGUGAGAGUAGGCAAAUCCGCUCUCAUAAUGCUGAGGCGUGAUGGGGAAGGUUCCACGGAACCGAAGUACAUGAUUCCACGCUGCCAAGAAAAGCGUCUAGAGAGAGAAGUAGUGCCCGUACCGCAAACCGACACAGGUAGGUGAGGAGAGAAUCCUAAGGCCGGCGGAAGAAUUACAGUUAAGGAACUCGGCAAAUUGACCCCGUAAGUUCGCGAGAAGGGGUGCCUACGAGAGUAGGCCGCAGAGAAUAGGCCCAAGCAACUGUUUAGCAAAAACACAGGUCUCUGCUAAAGCGUAAGCUGAUGUAUAGGGGCUGACGCCUGCCCGGUGCUGGAAGGUUAAGGGGAACACUUAGCGCAAGCGAAGGUGUGAACUUAAGCCCCAGUAAACGGCGGCCGUAACUAUAACGGUCCUAAGGUAGCGAAAUUCCUUGUCAGGUAAGUUCUGACCCGCACGAAUGGCGUAAUGACUUGGGCACUGUCUCAACUGUAAAUCCGGCGAAGUUGUAGUGCGAGUGAAGAUGCUCGCUACCCGCGAUUGGACGGAAAGACCCCGUAGAGCUUUACUGUAGCUUAGCAUUGAGUUUUGGUAUUGUCUGUACAGGAUAGGUGGGAGACUAGGAAACCAGGGCGUCAGCCUUGGUGGAGUCAACCUUGGGAUACCACCCUGACAGUACUGAAAUUCUAACUGGCGGCCAUGAAUCUGGUCACAGGACAUUGUUAGGUGGGCAGUUUGACUGGGGCGGUCGCCUCCUAAAAAGUAACGGAGGCGCCCAAAGGUUCCCUCAGAACGGUCGGAAAUCGUUCGAAGAGUGCAAAGGCAGAAGGGAGCCUGACUGCGACACCCACAAGUGGAGCAGGGACGAAAGUCGGGCUUAGUGAUCCGGUGGUACCUCGUGGGAGGGCCAUCGCUCAACGGAUAAAAGCUACCUCGGGGAUAACAGGCUGAUCUCCCCCAAGAGUCCACAUCGACGGGGAGGUUUGGCACCUCGAUGUCGGCUCGUCGCAUCCUGGGGCUGAAGUAGGUCCCAAGGGUUGGGCUGUUCGCCCAUUAAAGCGGCACGCGAGCUGGGUUCAGAACGUCGUGAGACAGUUCGGUCCCUAUCCGUCGCGGGCGUAGGAAAUUUGAGAGGAGCUGUCCUUAGUACGAGAGGACCGGGAUGGACUGACCUCUGGUGUACCAGUUGUUCCGCCAGGAGCACAGCUGGGUAGCUAAGUCGGGAAUGGAUAAACGCUGAAAGCAUCUAAGCGUGAAGCCAACCUCAAGAUGAGAUUUCCCAUAGCGUAAGCUAGUAAGAUCCCUUGAAGAACACAAGGUUGAUAGGUCGGGGGUGUAAGCAUGGUAACAUGUUCAGCUGACCGAUACUAAUAGAUCGAGGGCUUGACCAA